rnacentral:rRNA from 1 species
AGUCGAGCGAACAGACGAGGAGCUUGCUCCUCUGACGUUAGCGGCGGACGGGUGAGCAACACGUGGAUAACCUACCUAUAAGACUGGGAUAACUUCGGGAAACCGGAGCUAAUACCGGAUAAUAUAUUGAACCGCAUGGUUCAAUAGUGAAAGACGGUUUUGCUGUCACUUAUAGAUGGAUCCGCGCCGCAUUAGCUAGUCGGUAAGGUAACGGCUUACCAAGGCAACGAUGCGUAGCCGACCUGAGAGGGUGAUCGGCCACACUGGAACUGAGACACGGUCCAGACUCCUACGGGAGGCAGUAGUAGGGAAUCUUCCGCAAUGGGCGAAAGCCUGACGGAGCAACGCCGCGUGAGUGAUGAAGGUCUUCGGAUCGUAAAACUCUGUUAUUAGGGAAGAACAAAUGUGUAAGUAACUAUGCACGUCUUGACGGUACCUAAUCAGAAAGCCACGGCUAACUACGUGCCAGCAGCCGCGGUAAUACGUAGGUGGCAAGCGUUAUCCGGAAUUAUUGGGCGUAAAGCGCGCGUAGGCGGUUUUUUAAGUCUGAUGUGAAAGCCCACGGCUCAACCGUGGAGGGUCAUUGGAAACUGGAAAACUUGAGUGCAGAAGAGGAAAGUGGAAUUCCAUGUGUAGCGGUGAAAUGCGCAGAGAUAUGGAGGAACACCAGUGGCGAAGGCGACUUUCUGG